CACCAGGAGCCUCAGCCACCAGGAGCCACGCCGCUGCCUCUCUCCUUCGGUUGCUAGAGAAGCCAUUUUAGAAAACCUUUUCUGCCAACAGCCAAGGUUACCUUGUCAGAGCCUGGCUCGGAGUACCUGGCCUUUCAGCCCUGGGCGGGACACAGUCAGAUGGGGCUGCCGGAGGAGGGGACCAUGGGAGAGGCUGAGGGAACACAGCCUGAUCACUCUCUUUCUUUCUUUUUUUUCCUUUUUUCUUUUUUGAGACGGAGUCUCGUUCUGUCGCCCAGGCUGGAGUGCUGCAGCGGUGCGAUCUCGGCUCACUGCAACCUCUAACUCCUGGGUUCAAGCAAUUCUCCUGUCUCAACCUCCCGAGUAACCGGGAUUACAGGUGCCCCCCCCACCACACCGGGCUAAUUUUUGUAUUUUUAUUAGAGAUGGAGUUUCACCAUGUUGGCCAGGCUGGUCUCAAACUGUUGACCUCAGGUCCUCCGCUCGACUUGGCCUCCCAAAGUGCUGGGAUUACAGGCGUGAACCACUGCGCCGGCCUGCUCUGGUCACUCUUGCAAGAACCAGACUUGUCCCCAGUCUCUCCCUAUUUGUCCUUUCAUCUCUCCCAAGAGAUCCUGUCUCCUAGACCCUGGCCCGCUCCUGUACCCGCUGCUUGCUCUGGCUUGUCUGUCAUGGGCUUCUCUGCUUCAUUCCCCCCAAGUGUCAGGGGUUUCACGUGGCAGGAGUGGGAAGUUGAAGGAAACUGGUAUUUCCCUAUUAGGACUCAAGGCGAAGUGCCUUCAAGGACUCAGUUUUCUCCUGCUAGAAUGAACCAUCUCUUAGCAAUGCUCUGCAUGUUCUGGUGGGAACAGAGCUUCCAUCUCUUCUCUCCAUGUUGCCAGUGACCCCCUGCUGCCACCAGAGCUGUUCGGGGACCAACGCCCCAGGGUGGGAGGAAGGGAGAACACACAUCCCACGCAGGGGCUCAGCAGACCUGGUCCAUGAGGAGGCCUGGACCGGAGCAUCCCCUAUCCUAAAGAAGAAAGUGCGUAUUUGAUCCCAAAGGAACCAGCAAUUCAAGAAAGGAUUGGCCUUGAGAGAGGAGGGGAAGGGCAGGAAAUAGGGAAGAAUGAAUCAUGGAUCAAGCUGAAGCACUGGGGUGAGACAUGACUGGCAAGCAACCCAGGAAUGGAGUGGCAGGGGGAGUUAAGAAGACAUGUGAUGAGUGAGAGGGGGCAGAAGGCAGGGAGCACGCCAGCUGAAGGUCCAAUCUCACACAGGGAGAAAGGCCUAAAGAAUCUCUGGUGGACAAGUUCUGGAUGGCAUUGGAGACAGGGAAGUCUUCACUCAUUUGGUGGCUUUUCUGAAUCUCAGAGGAACCUAUAUUUUUGAUAGAGAGAAAUCAUGAAGACUGGCUUCCCAAGCUUCAGCCUCAGGAGAGGCGCCAUGUGGUAGGGACAGGUCUAAGGCUGUACAAGAAGCUUGGCUUCUGCUUCUGGUGAAGGCCUCAAGAAGCUACCACUCAUGACAGAAGGUAGAGGGGAGCAGGCAUCCCACGGCAAGAGAGGAAGGAAGAGUGAAAGAGGAGGAGGUGCCAGACUGUCUUCUCAACAGUCAGUUCUCAGGGAAAUGAACAGAGUGAGAACUCACUCAUUACCACGACGAAGGCACCAUGCCACUCACAGGGAAUCCACCCUCAUGACCCAAACACCUCCCACCAGGCCCCGGUCACAUGUCAGCAUGAGAUCUGGAGAGGUCAAACAUCCAAACUUACCAGUGGGUAGAUCACCUCCCUGCACUGUGCUCUAGUUUCUCCAGGAGUCAAAUGCUGUAAAUGUGCCCUGCCUUCUUCCCAGGCUAUUCAUAGGCUCCAGGGGACAUAGAACGUAUUUUGUUAACCACAAAGGGAUGCAUAUGUGUAAGGGGUGUUGAUGAUGAUGUUUCUAUAUUUGUAUAGAAAACUGAAAUACUAAUGUCUUUCAUCAGCUGGAAUGGAAAUGAUGGAAUGAAUAAGAUAGUAUUUCAACAAGCCAUACCCGGUUGACCAGAAAUCUUUAGAGUGAGGUCUUGACCUAUAUAGACUCCUCAACACAUACCCGUUUAGUGACUAACUCCAAGAGCCUGCGACCAGCUCUGGGAGCCAUUAGCAGAGACACAGCUGUGCUUCAAGUCACAACUGUUCUGUACUAUAGAGUCCCUUUUGAGGAAAUCAUAAUCUAAUUGAUAUUUUCAUACCAGUAUGUAAUGAGAAUAAUAAGGUGUCUCUUUUUUCCCCCUUUCUCCUCAUCCUCCACCAUCACCAUUGUCUGAAAAUUUCAGAGACUGUGUAUCACUGUGGCCAGGGAAUAAGAUGAAAAUGGGGGGAAAUGGUCCAAAGUUGAACCCAGGGCCAGAUGAGGCCACUAAGGACCCUGAGAGGCACCACCCCCUAAGCUUGGAGUAUAUUAGAUCAGCUGGACAAACACUUACUGCAAUAUCCCAGGAGAUACUAAAGUAUCAUCUGAUAGCAACUUCUCCAAGAGAUCACGAUCUAAUGGAAAACAUGAGAAAGCAAAUUCUUACACUACAACCUUCUACUUACAAAGUGUCCUGAGGAAGCUGCAGGUCCCCAUCUGAUGAAACAGCUGCUAUCUACUCUGCCCAUCCAAUAUAGUAGUCACACAACAUGAGGCUGCUAAAUUAUCCAAUGGAUACAUAUGGCCAGUUGGCCACCAUGUUGGACAGGAGGAAUAUUACAGAAUAUUUCCAGUAUUGCAGGGAGCUCUACUGGCCAGACUGGCUUUUUAAAAUAAAAUGUUAUUGGAACAUAGUCAGAUUCUUUCAUUUACGUAUUAUCUAGGAUUACUAUUGCAUGACAACAGCUGAGUUGAGAAGCUACAAUGGAGACCAUUUGGCCCACAAAGCUGAACACAUUCACGGGAAAAGUUUGUUGACACCUAGUCUAGACCAUGGUCCCCGUUGUCACAGCAGAGGGAAG